GUGUCAGCAGCCGCGGUAAUACGAAGGUGGCAAGCGUUGUUCGGAAUUACUGGGCGUAAAGCGCGUGUAGGCGGCUCUUCAAGUCAGGCGUGAAAGCCCUGAGCUCAACUCAGGAACUGCGCUUGAUACUGUCGAGCUAGAGUGUGGAAGGGGCAAUCGGAAUUCCGUGUGUAGCGGUGAAAUGCGUAGAUAUACGGAGGAACACCAGAGGCGAAGGCGGAUUGCUGGGCCAACACUGACGCUGAGACGCGAAAGCCAGGGUAGCAAACGGGAUUAGAAACCCCCGUAGUCC
rnacentral:rRNA from 1 species